UGAACUUGUGACUACUAACUGCAACCAGCA
rnacentral:piRNA from 1 species